GCGGUUCGCCGCCGACGACGUCGUGAGAAGUCCACUGAACCUUAUCAUUUAGAGGAAGGAGAAGUCG
rnacentral:rRNA from 1 species